CUUAUUUUGUCUCAUAUUUGUCAUAAAAUGUAUUUCUACCAAAAACUAUUUUCGCUAGUGAGGCGACUGAGUAUGAAAUUACUUUAGUUGUUCCUCAAAUUUCCUACAAAAUUGAAGUAUUUUAAAACAAGGCUGGUUGGGUGAUCAAGAAAGUGAGAUGAAAACUCUCAAUCCAUUUACAUGAUUUAAUUGAUAAUUUUUUUCUUAUCACUGCCUAAAGAUUAAACCUACUGAAUACUUAAUUAAUCAGGGUGGAAAACUGUGUAUUGUGUGAAAAUGCACAAUGGCCCAAAUAUGUAUGAUUUAUAUGUCUGAAUUUUCAAUCUCAAAAUUGUAGGUUAAGUGUGCUUCUUAAAUACUGGGUAAUUCCUUAUGGCCAAGUAACACAUUUAAAAUGGUGUAAUAAGUCAAUACUCACAAAUGUUUUCGCUCUGAGUUCAAGGUUGGUGAACGUUAACAACACUGAUGCCAUCUUGACAGUGGUGAUGACCUUUGAGAUAAGGGAGAGUCCACAGUGGAAGAAGCCAACGCUCAUAUCCUUGUUAAAGUAGCACCUGGUCCACAAGAGAGCAAUUGUUUGCAGUCCACGGUUACAGACUGGAACAAAAUGACACUGGAAAGAACUCGUGUUUCUUCAAGGAUAAAGGGGAUCCUUUUGAGACUUCCCCAGAGCUCCUGGUGCUCCCAGCAUGACUCAGGCCAUGUACCGCAGGAGGUAGAAAACCCUGCCUAAUCCCUUCAGUGCUUUUACAAAUAUCUAUAUUUCCUUGCUGAGGAGAUCUGAAGAUUACCGCUACAGCCCAUGUAUCUGUGGACAAUGAGUUAUUAUUAUCCGCACAUGGUGGUUUUUCAUCGGCCCAGCAAUCUAUUAUAUGGCCAAGCAGCUUUUCUGCUGUGGAUCUUGGG
ensembl:lncRNA